ensembl:lncRNA
AUGCAAAGGGUAGUCCUUUAGACAUUCAGGGAGGUAUCAUGAUCUUCAUGGCCUUCCCUGGUAAAGAAUCCGCCUGCAAUGUGGGAGACCUGGGUUCGAUCCCUGAGUUGGGAAGAUCCUCUGGAGGAGGGCAUGGCAACCCACUCCAGUAUUCUUGCCUGGAGAAUCCCAUGGAUGAGGAGCCUGGUGGGGUACAGUCCAUGGUGUCCCAAAGAGUCGGACACAACUGAGCAAUUAAGAACAGAUCAUGAUCUUCUCAGGGGCUGGGACAGAAGAUUCAGGAACUGCCAAUCCUCUCCAUCCCUUGGAGGCCCUCAGAGAGCUCCCUUACUUCUGCUUCUCUGGGCUCAGUCAUCCUGCAUGUGGCCCAGCAUGAUGGCAGCAUGGUCAACCAGCUGUCUGAGCUUGCAUAUCCAGCUUUGCCAUCCCUGGGUCUCUUUCUUCAACCCCUGUGACUGGUCCAGUUUCUCUGUUUAUCCUGAGCACGUGACUUGACUGUGUCUACCCCUUGUCUAGCUGGCAUGGCUAGGAGGAGCAGGUCUCAUGAGGGCCAAUAAACGCGAGCUUCUUGAAAGGUGUUAAUGCUGGCUUUCCCCUUAGCUGAAGGGCCACUGAAGACCUUCCAGACCUUCAGAGCUCUUGUUAGGAGUGAUGUGGAAUUCCUGCUCCCCAGGGCCACUGGACCCAUGAUCAGAGGACCCUGAGGUAUCUCCUGGUUUCUGGAGGACAGCAAUGUUUGGGACAUCCAAUGAAAGGCAGAUUCAUUUUGUGCAGGUUAACACCUAACUCUUCCCUCCUAGGGAACUCCCCCAAGUAUGACUCUCUUGAGAUAGAGCUGUCCAAGUUUGGGGAACCAUUCAGGAUUACUCACAACCAGUCCCAGCAUCAAAGUAGUGCGUCAGAGACGUUGGAAGUUAUUGACCCACCAGUUUUAUUUUUCCCUGGGCAGAACAAGACUUCAAUGCGUGAGGCCACACUGACCCCCGGGCACCUUCACUGCUUUUGCUCAGGCCAUUCCUCUCCUUGGAAUUCCCUGACAGGUGAUCCUCCCCAGUCACUACCUGGUUGAAUUCUCCCCUUCCCUUAAGGCCCUACCCCAGACCAACCUCCUAGAAGAAGCCCCCCGGCUUGCCUAUCCUUUCCUCCCUGUCUCCCUCUGUACCUGUGUCUCGGCACACACGGCAUCUGGUGCCUGAGUUGCUCACACUUCACGUGUUUCCCUCUCUAGGCUGACUAUCUUUGGAGGACAUCUCUGUGUCCCUGAGAGAGCGUGAGCAGAGCCCAGCUCCGAGCAGGUGGACUGGUAUGCUGACAUGCGUGCUGUCACCCAGAAGGACCUCUGAACCUCCCAGCAGCCCCUGGAACAGGCUCCCGCGGCCCCCAGGUCCAGCCUUCUCAGCCAGCAGUGGACCCUGCCCUCCCUAAAAACCGUCGCCCCAUGCGGAUUCCUCCGUCUCACAGUGGCCACUUCUGCUAUGGAGGGGCCCCUGCCCUCCACGUGGCAUCAUCGGGAUAGACGAGGACCCCCAAUGGGCUGCUGCGUUCUUGCAGAACAGAUUGUCCUCAGGAGACAGGCUCUAGACUCUGGGGUCCCAGGGUGCCCUCCACUUCACUCUUGUCCCCUAAACACUAAGGGCCAGUGGCUAGCUUCAGCUCCCAGGCAUGCUGUAUCUUCUGACUCUGAGGAAGCCAGUCUACUUUUUGUUGCUCUAGCGAGGCCAGGCCAGUGGUCAGGAUGGAUGGGAGGCCGAGCAGAGAGAGGGGGAGGCCUGCCAGGAAGCGAGAGCGGAGGCCGGGCCUGCUCUCCCACAGGAAACCACUGACUGGAAACUCUGAAGUGCUGGAGGCAGCUCCCAGCUGCACGACCCAGAGUGCUGUCAUGCGGCGCCCGCAGCCCCUCCGAACAGCUCGUGAGACAUGCGGAGGGCGGGAGGGGGCACAGAGCCCACGGUACCCAUGGAGGAGGCACAGCGGCCGGUGGACCACAGCCAGCAUCCGGAACGCUUGAUUUGACGUUGGUUUCCCCUAGACGGUCCCUUGAGCCUGAACCGCACAUAUGGCGACGCUCUCUGAUGGGAGGGAGCGCUAACCCGGCAGGUGGUGCUGGGGGUCUCCGUCAGCGCAGGAGCUGAGAGGGGACCCGCCUGCGGCGUCACAGGGGCCGCGUCACGUGACGCAGCCGGUAUCUUUACUUUGUGGGAGGCUCGUCACAUACAUGGGGGUUACAGUCACACCCAGUCAUGAGAAGUCUCCUGAUUUUGCACAAAAUAGGUGUGAAAUCUUUCAUCCAGGAAUAGAAGAGCCUGUUUCUAACAUCGCAGAGGAAUGUCUGACAUCAUCUCCACCAGUGAAUCCAACGCUCACCAGCAACCCCCUGUCCCUACCUCUCUCCCCUCCUUUCUUCACCAGCUGUUUGCUAAGUCUGGAGUCUGUCUGAUGAUUGAAAUACUUUUUUUUUUUUCUUGUCCUUGAAAGCCGGUUCUACCUUCCAUCUUUAAGCCUAUGUUGCUCCCUAAACAUUAGAAUAUGAGCUGGGCUUGGUCUCAGGAGAACUUGUUCAUUGGCUCCCAAACUUGUGUGCACAUUAGAAUCACCUGGGGGAAUUUAAACACUCCGGUGGCCAGGUCACACCCUAUGCCAAUUAAAUCAGAACAUCUGGGGCUGGGAGUGGGAACAGUAGUUUUUAAAGAUCCCCAGGUGAUUCCAACAUGCAGCCAAGUUUGGGAACCAUGACCUGGUGAUGUACUGAAGGGGGUUACAGCCUGCAGCCAACUGAAUCAACUUCAUAGAGCUCAGAUCUUCUUGUCUUGUCGAGACAUGAGGGUACAGGUCCCAGGUCCCAAACUAGGCUGGGAGCAUUCUCUCUGGGGUGUCUCCUAGCCUCGAGGUGAAGAUAUGCUCUGGGGAGGGUUGACAGAGGCCUGGGAGAGAUUCCCUUUCUGCAGCAGAGGGUGCUGGUUCCAGGCGGGAGCUCUGAGGGGUUCAGUCCCCAGGAGAGCCUCAGGUCAGCUGGGAAGUAAGCAGCCAGUUCUGUCCUUCCUUCCUGAAUGCAGCCCCAAGCCCUGGGGUUCCUGACACACUUCUGAUUAAGGACACGGUUCUGAUUCCCACUCUGCGAGCAGCCCUGAUUCCUGCUGCUCAGCCAUCCCGGGUAGCAGGAGGCCAGAGCUCCUGCAAUGACAGUCUCGGAAGGAUCAUCUCUGGCAGGCUCUGAUAUUCUCACUCCUCCACACUCUCUGACAAGCAUCUACAUGGGUGGUUCUCAAACUCUUACCAGAAUCCUCUGAAAAUGAAAAGUGACCCAGAGGGAUGGUAUGGGGAGGGAGGUGGGA